GUGAAAAACAUAGAGACACAUAUACUAAAAUUGGAACGAUACAGAGAAGAUUAGCAUGGUCCCUGCACAAGGAUGACCCACCCUGCUUUUCUUUCUUAU
ensembl:snRNA U6 U6 spliceosomal RNA